rnacentral:rRNA from 1 species
CAGUAGCCGCGGUAAUACGAACCGUGCGAACGUUACUCGGAAUUACUGGGCUUAAAGCGCGUGUAGGCGGGCCGCCACGUCGGUUGCUGAAAUCCCCCGGCUCAACCGGGGAAGUGGCAUCGAUACGAGCGGCCUUGAGGGGGGUAGGGGGAUCUGGAACUUCCGGUGGAGCGGUGAAAUGCGUUGAGAUCGGAAGGAACGCCCGUGGCGGAAGCGAGGUCCUGGACCCUUUCUGACGCUGAGACGCGAAAGCCAGGGGAGCGAACGGGAUUAGAUACCCCAGUAGUCCCUGUCUCUUAUA